rnacentral:lncRNA from 1 species
GAGUAGCUGGGACUGCAGGCGCCCGCCACCAUGCCUGGCUAAUUUUUUGUAUGUUUAGUAGAGACGGGGUUUCACCGUGUUAGCCAGGAUGGUCUCUAUCUCCUGACCUUGUGAUCUGCCUGCCUCGGCCUCCCGAAGUGCCGGGAUUACAAGCGUGAGCCACCAUUCCCGGCCCAAACAACUCUCAGAUGUGGAAAUGAAGUUCAGAGAAUUUAAGUAAAUUCCCAAGUUCAUGCAGGAGGAGAAGAAGUAUGAAGUGCUUGCUUGGACCUUUCUACUGUGCUUAUUAUUCUGUCUUCUCCUCAUGGCAAGGAUGGGGUCAUGCUUUGUUGUCCAGGCUGGUCUCGUACUCCUGGAAUCAAGGAACCCUUCCACCUCAGCCUCUGAAAGUUCUGGGAUUACAGGCAUAAUUCAUCCUGCCUGGCCAAGAAUCUUUAAUGGCUGGAGUGCAAUCUCGGCUCACUGCAGCCUUGACCUCCCGGGCUCGAGCAGUCCUCCCACCUCAGCCUCGCAAAUAGUUGGGACCACAGAUAUGCACCACCACGUCAGCCUAAUUUUUGUAUUUUUAGUAGAGACAGAGUGUCACCAUGUUGCUCAGGCUGGUCUGCUGGGCUCAAGCAAUCCGCACAACUCCACCUCCCAAAGUGCUAGGAUUACAGGCUAAGCCACCGAGCCAUUUUAUACAAUAUUUUAUGCAUCUUUAGUUAAAGAGUUAAAAGUUUCUUUAAGAUCUUUGAAAUUAUUUUAAAAUACUGAUCACUGUUGUUUUUUUCCACCAGUUUCUCAAUUCUUAAAUUCUAUGUUCUUUUAAAUAAAAUUUUGACACGCUGAAAUUUAA